AUGCCGUGGCUACUGAUUGGGGACCUGAAUGAAAUUCAAUUCUUGUCUGAAAAGGAAGGAGGAAACCCGAGACCGCCGCAGUACAUGCAGGCCUUCCAAUCGGUGAUUGACGACUGUGAAUUGCGGGACAUGGGUUAUAUAGGCGAUCGGUUCACGUGGCAGAGGGGUGGAAUCAGGGAGAGGUUGGACAGAGGGCUAAUCAACGCCUCUUGGGAAGCUAUGUACCCAUCGGCGGCACUGCAAAACAUGCUAUACAAUCACUCGGACCACCGUCCAAUUUAG
rnacentral:rRNA from 1 species